ACAACUUUUAACUUUGUAUUUUAUGUACCUUUCAUGGCUAGUAUUUGCUUUUUGAUUUUUAUUGGCUUAAAAUAUUUGUUUUCUAUUAUUGUUCAUUCUAGGUAAAAUAUCGUCUGCGUUACCAUUCUGAAAAAAAUACUCCAUGGUUUACAGAACUUCUCUUUCCAGUAAAUCCCUCUGUAGGACCCAGGAACCCUACCUCUGCAGAAGGGGGAAGUCCUGAAUAUGGUGCUAAGUGGAAUAACUUCUUGUCACGAGUGAGCCCAGAUGAUGAACUCACUCUUGCUCAAAUUAUGGGAAUGCUUUUAUUUGAUGCCUUCUUAUAUGGCCUUCUGGCCUGGUAUAUAGAUGCUGUCUUUCCAGGAAAGUAUGGUGUGCCCAAGCCAUGGUAUUUCUUUAUGCAGGUAAGUUCUAAUUAUUUCUGUUAUUGAGAGAAACUCCAGUUCUUAUAUACUGAGUUUGUUGAAGAGUGAACAUUACUUAAUUUUAACACCGUCCACACAGUCUUAUGAUACUAAU
rnacentral:lncRNA from 1 species